rnacentral:rRNA from 1 species
UACGUAGGAGGCAAGCGUUGUCCGGAGUUACUGGGCGUAAGCGCACGCAGGCGGUCUUGUCAGUCUGUAGGGGGACAGGGGCACAGCUCACUGUGUCAGCUUACGAAAACUGCAGACUUGAGGGGGCUUUUCAGAGGGGAUGGGGAGUUUUCCGGGGUGGGGAGUGGGGAUGAAAAUGCGUAGAGAUCCCCGGGGAAAAGAAAACAGCCCCAAAAGGGGCGAAAAGCACCCCACCUGGGGGAGUCACUGACCGCG